AUAUAUAUAUAUAUAUAUAUAUAUAUAUAUAUAUAUAUAUAUAUUUGUUCCUGCAGCCAGAGUACAGCUCUAUAUCUGUCAACACAUUCUUACAAAUCAAUGCAUUAUUAUAUCCUUCACUUAGGUUUCAUUUGGUUUAAACAUGCUAUUCUUUUUUUUUUUUAAUUAAUUUUUUGGACAUAAAUGUAGAAAAUAUUUACUUUUAGAACUUUUAUAUUCUCCCUUUUAAAAACAAGAAAAAUUUGUAUCGUUGUUAAAUUAUUUUGAUACUAAAUAUACAAGCGCAAAUGAAAUUUGUAACUUGAUAAAAAAAAAAAUUUGAUAAUAUUUAUGUACGUAAAUUAAAAAAAAAUAGUAACAGAGAAAUUGACUUUCCAUUUAUCUUUAUAUUUCUUUACAAUUGAACUUAAUAAGUUUAUAUCUUCAACUAAAAUAAAAAACAAGUCAAAUAUCAUUAAGUUAAUAAGAGAGUUAUAAUGAUAUUGUUGAUGAUAUUAUGAAUUAAAAUUUCUUUUUUUAUUUUUAAAUUUCAGGUUGCAGGCUCAACUCAGACAAGCUUUGGAUACUCACAAUUAUAAUAAUAUUAUUGAUGUCAAAUUACAAAAUAAUUAUAGAAAAAUAGAAAUGAUUCGAAUGAUUCGUUGUGCUGCAGCUUGUGUAUAUAAACCUACAAAAUAUCGUCCAAAAAUGAGUCAGAUUGUUCUAGUCUUGCAAGGAAAAUUGGCAUCGGAAAGUAUAUGGCUAAACAGCGACAACAAUUUCCUUAAGGAUGCGCAUCAACAGGAUCAGUCAUGGGGAUCAUACACAAGGUCUGCGAAUGAUUAUGUGGCUUGAUUAUCGUUAUUGUCUGAUUUUCUGUUUCCAUGCGGCUCGUGUGACGCCUCUUACUUGCCCACUGUAUAGCCGAGCAAGAAGUGCCACAUUCGGUGCCCGAGCACCCUAUCUUGUUUUAUCAUAUCUAUUGUAAGCUUUCAAUAUCAUUUAAAAGUAGUAAUCCAUGUGUAUAAUUUUUUUUUUUUUAUAACUUAUUUCUGUGAAGACCCGGACAGAGCCUCUCCUGUUUUAUUAGCAUCUGGCGGGUUCCACUAAUUACCUGUUAACAUGUCUAUAUUCAUUUCACACAUUUCCAUAUCAUAUUCUGUUGUAUCAUAUCAUUUACAAUUAUUUAUGAGAUCUAAAAAUGAAGUAUUAUCUAUUGCAUUAAUUUAGAAAUUCAUAGAAAAUAAAUUACAAGUUUUCA